rnacentral:rRNA from 1 species
CAGCAGCCCCCGCGCCCGGCCGGCCCCUCCGAAUUCACCCCCUUCACCCCCUUCACCGCCGUCAUCUCCUCCUCCUCCCGCCGCCCAGAUGCCAACGGCGGCGACACCGUCGCGUGCCCCAACUGCGGCGACGCCUUCUCCUCCGAGCACGCCGUCUCGGAGCACCUCGACGGCUGCCUCGCGUCGGCCGGCGGCGCCCGCGCCCGCGCGGCCGCGUACCUCGCCGGCAACCCACCCCCCGCGGCCGUCGAGGUCGUCAAGAAGCUUCUCGGCAACCUGCUCAAGGAGCCCGGCAACGACAAGUAUAGGAGGGUCAGGCUCGGUAACCCUAGGAUCAAGGAGGCCGUGGCGGACAGGGAGGGCGGGCUUGAGCUCCUCGAGGCGGUCGGGUUCACGAUCGGGGAUGAGAGCGGGGAGCUCU